UACGGAGGGGGGCUAGCGUUGUUCGGAAUUACUGGGCGUAAAGCGCACGUAGGCGGCUUUGUAAGUUAGAGGUGAAAGCCCAGGGCUUAACCCUGGAAUUGCCUUUAAGACUGCAUCGCUUGAAUUGUGGAGAGGUGAGUGGAAUUCCGAGUGUAGAGGUGAAAUUCGUAGAUAUUCGGAAGAACACCAGUGGCGAAGGCGACUCACUGGACACAUAUUGACGCUGAGGUGCGAAAGCGUGGGGAGCAAACAGG
rnacentral:rRNA from 1 species